rnacentral:antisense_RNA from 1 species
AUAGUUACUUGGGACAACAGUUUUAGCAGGGCUCUCUCCUUUCCUGAUCUCUGUGUUAAGCUGCCUGCCUCAUUUGAUAUCACAUCCAAAUUAUCAGCUGAUUGCUCUGUUGUUUUGGACAAUGCCCUGGGGCAUACCAAAAUGUGUCUGGAAUUGGUGGGUUCUUGGUCUUACUGACUUUAAGAAUAAAGUUGCAGACUUUUGUGUAAGAAGAAAGCCCAAAGACAAAACCAGAGACAACUGGCUGCUGCAUCGCCCACCCAGUGGCAGUAGUGUGAGCUAUGGACAAAAGAUCUAAGUCUCCGGGACAAAGAGUUGUGCAGCUGCUCAUUUUCCUGUUGACUUCUAAGACUUGGAGAUUUUUGUGAGAUUGGGACCUAUCUACAGAGCUCCAGAGGGAAGUGAGAAGGAUGUUCACUUGCUGGUGAGAGAAGGAGCUGGUUCCAUCCAUUAUGCAGUCCCCUGGGAGCGCUAAAUGCAACUUUAUCUCAACGGGGAGUGGACGAUGAGCAGGACGUCGCUAGAGGGAAAGAGCCUCACUUCCCGUUUCCUUUGGCAGCGCCCUUUU